CCUACGGGUGGCAGCAGUGGGGAAUAUUGGGCAAUGGGCGCAAGCCUGACCCAGCAACGCCGCGUGAAGGAAGAAGGCUUUCGGGUUGUAAACUUCUUUUGUCAGGGAGGUAGCAAGUGACGGUACCUGACGAAUAAGCCACGGCUAACUACGUGCCAGCAGCCGCGGUAAUACGUAGGUUGCAAGCGUUAUCCGGAUUUACUGGGUGUAAAGGGCGUGUAGGCGGGACUGCAAGUCAGAUGUGAAAACCACGGGCUCAACCUGUGGCCUGCAUUUGAUACUGUAGUUCUUGAGUACAGGAGCGGCAGACGGAAUUGCUGGUGUAGCGGUGAAAUGCGUAGAUAUUAGGAAGAACACCGGUGGCGAAGGCGGUCUGCUGAACAACAACUGACGCUGAGGCGCGAAAGCGUGGGGAGCAAACAGGAUUAGAUACCCGAGUAGUC
rnacentral:rRNA from 1 species